UCUACAUUUGUAAACAGGGCUUUGGAUCUGUGCUCCGGCUCUGCUACAGUUCCAGGCAAAAACCUGCAGCUCCACUGCUCCGGAGCUGUUCUGCUCCAAAG